AGUUUGAUCCUGUGCUCAAGAUGAACGCUAACGAUAGGCUUUAUACAUGCUAGUCAAGGGGCACCACAAAGGAAGUAUCAAUACUUAUUUGGUGGCGACCGGCGCACGGGUGAUUAACGCGUAUGCUACCUACCUACUACUUUGGUAUAUCUCGUUGAAAGACUAAUUAAUACCUUAUAAUAUAGGGGCUCCGCAUGGAGAGAUUAGUAAAAGAUUUAUCGGUAGUAGAUGGGCAUGCGUUCCAUUACUUACUUGGUGAGGUAACGGCUCACCAAUACAUCGAUGGAUAUGGGAACUGAGAGGUUUUACCCCCACACUGCAACUGAGACACAGUCCAGACUCCUACGGGAUGCAGCCAGUGAUGAAUAUUGGUCCAUGGAGGGAACUCUGAACCAUCCAAGUCUCGUGAAUGAUGACUGCCCUACGGGUUGUACACUUCUUUUUUAAGGGAAUAAAGUGAUCCACCUGUGGCUUUGUGCAUGUACCUUACCAAUAAGGAUCGGCUAACUCCGUGCCACCACCCGCGGUGAUACGGAGGAUCCUAACGUUAUCCGGAUUUAUUGGGUUUAAAGGGUGCGCAUGCGGACUAUUAAGUCGGCGGUGACAGUCUGCAGUUUAACUGUAGAAUUGCCGUCGAUACUGGUAUUCUCGAGUGUAUUUGAAGUAUGCAGAAUCUGUAGUGUAACGGUGAAAUGCAUAUAUAUCACCACGAACUCCGAUUGCGAAGGCAGCUUACUAAACUACUACUGACGCUCAUGCACGAAGGCGUGGGGAUCAUACAGGAUUAGAUACACUGGUAGUCCACGCAGUAAACUAUGAUAACUCGCUGUUUGCGAUACACAGUAAGCGGCUUAGCGAAAGCGUUAAGUAAUCCACCUGGGGAGUACGUUCGCAAGAAUGAAACUCAAAGGAAUUGACGGGGGCCCGCACAAGCGGAGGAACAUGUGGUUUAAUUCGAUGAUACGCGAGGAACCUUACCCGGGCUUGAAAUGAUAUUGACCGGCUCAGAGACGAGUCUUCCCUUCGGGGCAAUAGUGUAGGUGCUGCAUGGUUGUCGUCAGCUCGUGCCGUGAGGUGUCGGAUUAAGUGCCAUAACGAGCGCAACCCUCAUCAUUAGUUGUUAACAGGUUAAGCUGAGGACUCUAAUGAGACUGCCAUCGUAAGAUGAGAGGAAGGUGGGGAUGACGUCAAAUCAGCACGGCCCUUAUGUCCGGGGCGACACACGUGUUACAAUGGAUGGUACAACAGGCAGAUACUAGGCGACAAGAUGAUAAUCCCAAAAACCAUUAUCAGUUCGGAUCGAAGUCUGCAAUUAGAAUUAGUGAAGUUGGAUUCGCUAGUAAUCGAGCAUCAGCCACGGCGCGGUGAAUACGUUCCCGGCCUUUGUACACGCCGCCCGU
rnacentral:rRNA from 1 species